CUGAGAUGGAGAAGACUGACAGGCCGAGCUCACGCAUAGAGUCCCACCCAGGGCCCCCAGUCUUCUGGGGGCCAGCAGCCCCUUGGAUUCCAAGUGUCAACGUGAGAAUUCAGGAACCACGACAGUCUACCCAUCUCUAUUUAAGAACGGAGAAACCGAGGGGAGAGGUAACUCGCCCAAGGUCCCACGGCGAGUCCAGGGCGGCGCUAGACUCCCAGUCUCUGGGGUCUCUCCUCCAUUCUAGCCCGUCAGAUGAGCACCGGAGACCCUGUAGUGUCGGGGCUGGAGUCAGAGGACCUGAAUUUUGUGCGAAGCCACAACAUUUACCAGGCUUGUCAUUGGGCUAGACACUUUGCCUCUCUGUGCCUCAGUUUCCUUGUCUGUAAAGGGCAUCGCUCUUGCCCCUACCUUCCUUGGCUUGUUGCUGGACAAAUAAUGUUUUUUAAAAAAGCAAUACCACCUGCCAAUUGCUGAGCCCCAGUGAGCCUGGCACUGUCCUGGGCGCAUCGUCCAAGACCUCCGUGUUCUCCCGGCUUUGUAAAUCCCGCCGCUUCUCCAGCCAGACCUCCUUCAGGAUGCCACAUUUAAUCGUCAUGUCUCCUUAUGCCCCUCCCCCCUCC
rnacentral:lncRNA from 10 species